GGUGGCUCAGUGGUAGAGUGCUUGUCUUGCAUGCAUGAGGCCAGGGGUUUGAUUCCUCAGCACCA
rnacentral:tRNA from 1 species